AUGCAAGUCGAACGGUAGAAAGGUGCUUGCACCUUUUGAGAGUGGCGGACGGGUGAGUAACACGUAGGUAAUCUACCUAGAAGUUGGGGAUAGCCUGUGGAAACACAGGGUAAUACCGAAUGAGACCAUGUAAAUGGUGAAAGAGGCUAAGGCCUCGCUUUUAGUUGAGCCUGCGGCUCAUUAGCUAGUUGGUGGGGUAACGGCCUACCAAGGCGACGAUGAGUAGCCGGCCUGAGAGAGCGACCGGUCACACUGGGACUGAGACACGGCCCAGACUCCUACGGGAGGCAGCAGCUAAGAAUCUUCCGCAAUGGUCGAAAGGCUGACGGAGCGACGCCGCGUGGACGAAGAAGGCCGGAAGGUUGUAAAGUCCUUUUCUCAGAGAAGAAUAAUGUGGGGAGGGAAUGCCCUACAGAUGACGUUAUCUGAGGAAGAAGCCCCGGCUAAUUACGUGCCAGCAGCCGCGGUAACACGUAAGGGGCAAGCGUUGUUCGGAAUUAUUGGGCGUAAAGGGCGCGUAGGCGGCUGAGCAAGCCUGGUGUGAAAGGCCACAGCUUAACUGUGGGAGUGCGCUGGGAACUGCUUGGCUGGAGUUCAGGAGGGGAAUCUGGAAUUCCUGGUGUAGGGGUGAAAUCUGUAGAUAUCAGGAAGAACACCUGUGGCGAAGGCGAGAUUCUGGCCAUGAACUGACGCUGAGGCGCGAAAGCGUGGGGAGCGAACAGGAUUAGAUACCCUGGUAGUCCACGCUGUAAACGAUGUGCACUAGGUGUUGGCUGUUGUAACGGUCAGUGCCGAAGCAAACGCGAUAAGUGCACCGCCUGGGGAGUAUGCUCGCAAGGGUGAAACUCAAAGGAAUUGACGGGGGCCCGCACAAGCGGUGGAGCAUGUGGUUUAAUUCGAUGAUACGCGAGGAACCUUACCAGGGCUUGACAUAUGCAUGACGGUCGUAGAGAUACGGCUUCCCUUCGGGGCGUGCAUACAGGUGCUGCAUGGUUGUCGUCAGCUCGUGCUGUGAGGUGUUGGGUUAAGUCCCGCAACGAGCGCAACCCCUGCUGUCUGUUACCAGCACGUAAUGGUGGGGACUCAGACGGGUACUGCCGGUGGCAAACCGGAGGAAGGUGGGGAUGACGUCAAAUCAUCAUGGCCCUUUAUGUCCUGG
rnacentral:rRNA from 1 species